rnacentral:rRNA from 1 species
GAUGAACGCUGGCGCCGUGCCUAAUACAUGCAAGUCGAGCGAACGGACGAGAAGCUUGCUUCUCUGAUGUUAGCGGCGGACGGGUGAGUAACACGUGGAUAACCUACCUAUAAGACUGGGAUAACUUCGGGAAACCGGAGCUAAUACCGGAUAAUAUUUUGAACCGCAUGGUUCAAAAGUGAAAGACGGUCUUGCUGUCACUUAUAGAUGGAUCCGCGCUGCAUUAGCUAGUUGGUAAGGUAACGGCUUACCAAGGCAACGAUGCAUAGCCGACCUGAGAGGGUGAUCGGCCACACUGGAACUGAGACACGGUCCAGACUC